AUGAACCGGUAUGGUAUGCCAUUCAUACCCUUUGUUGGUCUUAACAAUCACCGGAAGACCACUGUUUUUGCUUAUGCCAUAGUUUCGGACGAGACCGAAGAGACAUAUGUGUGGCUGCUGGAGACUUUUUUGAGGUCCAUGUGUCAAAAGAUGCCUAUGAGUGUUAUCACGGAUGCCGACGCUGCGAUGAUCAAGGCAAUUCGCCAAGUCUUGCCAGACGUGUGGCACCGUAUAUGUACGUGGCAUAUAGAAAAAAAUAUGAAGAUUCACCUCAGUCACAAGUCCUUGAAGGAUUUCCGAACUCUGCUAUGA
rnacentral:rRNA from 1 species